AAUUGAAUUUCAGGGCAAUUCUCCUUUGGCUGAAAGCAGGGGCAGUUAACAGUCUAAGUAAAUGCACCAUCAAUAUUUCUGCCAAAGGAGAAUUACCCUGUUAUUCAUCU
rnacentral:pre_miRNA from 1 species